rnacentral:lncRNA from 1 species
AGGAAAGCCAUCGCUUCCCUUGGGCAAAGGGCAUCUAGUUCCCAAUUAACCGAAGCAGCUUGCAUCAGCUCAGAAACUCUGACCCUAUCAAAUGAAAUCCUCUUGCUCUCUCCCAAUGAGAGACAGCCCUGCAAUGUGUCCUCCCAACAGAGCAUGCUCUACCCAGGAAGCAGUCAAGAUGCUUUCGAAAAUGUGGUGUCUCGGUGUCUGCUGUUUCUGUUAAUCCUGAAGAUGCUCACCCGUGAGACUGAAUCAGAAGCCUGUCCCUGCCCUCACUCAGAGGAUGAGUCACACGGUGUGGGCGAGGUUUGGAGAUGGAAGCCAGCUCUGCUCUCUCCGUUGGUAACCAAGGCAAAGGCAUCUUGCUGAGAGAAUGCUUGCAAGUGCAUAGAAAGCUAAUCCCACGGUCAGGCCUGUGAAUGUUGGUUACCACUGUUGGCUAUCCUUUGCUUAAGUUUAAGUCACGGCAUCUUCAGAAUCACAUAGUUCCAAGAUACCAAGGUACUCUGUCUUCUGGUCCACAUUCCUUUGUCAUUGAACAAUUGCAUACACUGAACAGGCUUUGGGUAAAUGAGGGAAGGACAGGGGACCAAGAGAGAAUUUGAGUGCUUGGGAAAUAGCAUUGAACAGUAAGUCAGAAGGUGAGGAGGCCUCUAGAGGUGUACCUUUAAAUUCCAGAUUUGUGUUUCACUGUGUAGGUUUUGGCAGGUUGUCAAAGGCAUUUGAGUUUCCCUCAUUUCCAAUAUACCUUAAAGUGUCUCUUUCAUGGAAAACACCUAGCACAGAGUAUCCGGGUUGCUCUCAGUGAUUGGCAAGUGACAUCUUUUUCUACUAUGUUAAAUGCUCACCAGAAAAAAAAAUGUUCUGAAGGUCCUGUCUUAUCAGAUCAGAGCCAUGUGGGCAGAGAAGGGGUCAGAGAAGGACAGAAAGAGCAUGAGAGACUGUCCAAGAGCACAUGGGAACACACACACACACACACACACACACACACACACACAGAGAGAGAGAGAGAGAGAGAGAGAGAGUGAGAGAGAGAGAAAGAGAGAGAGGGAGAGAGAAAGAGAGAGAGAGAGAGAGAGACAGAGAGAGACAGAGAGAGAGAGAGAGAUGGGGUGGUGACCAGUCCUUUUCUGUGCUAGGUCACUUGCACCCGGAAGUGGCAGAUAAUGGUGGCAGGUGAUGACUUAAGCUGUUGCUAGGUCCCUGGGAGGAGCCUGGUGGAAUCACCUAGAAGCCAACAGUAACGACGACACAGACAUGGGUGUAUUAUCCUCUCUUUGUUCAGUGUAAACUUUAUUUGCUAUGUGCUUUAAGCACACGACUUUUAAGUGUUUGCAAUAAAGGUAUACGUUAAGUGUAUUGUUCUGAUUUGAUAGCUGCAGCACUAACAAAGAGAUGAAGGACUGUCUUCUAGGCUGCACAACUGGCAAACCGAAGUCCUGCAAUUCCAGGCGAGGAUUGCUGCACUUACUUGAGAGACUUUGUUCCUCCUUUGUACCUGCCACGCGCUCUGCUGGGCACAGUUGUGUCCCUGUAAUCAGCAUAGUGAAGACCAAUGGGGUAGUUUGGUCACCGUAGGAAAAAAAAAACAAACUCUUCGACGCCGAUUUCACAACUACUCAUGGAAUCCCACAAACUCUUCUUUGCUGCAGCUCAGAAUCUCUUCAACUGACCGAAUUAUUUCCGUCGAUGUGAAUUUCAAUGCCAUCCAAUAGCAACAAGAUUCAACUAAACAAAGGAUGAGCUGUCCUUAGGGUUUCCCAGAGGGGCUUCUGUCAUAACUUUUCAGUCAGAUGAAUCUGAAGAAUAAAAUUAUUACCAUCUGUCCAGUUCAGGUAGAGAGGAAACUUGUAUUUUAGGGAUGGGCUUUUCUUCUCGUGGGUCUCGUCAGGAGAUUAAAAAUAAAAGAUUCCCCUCCCCCAAAUUCCAUCACCAAGGACAGGUCAUAAUAUCAGGACAUGUCAGUCAGAGGUGAGUGAGAAGCAUAAACUGCUGAGAAGCAGAGACAGACCGAUAGCUCUAGAUGAGGCCAGAGACAGCAUGAGGAAGAGUGCAGACUAUACUAGGGAGAACAAAGGAGAAAAUGAUCGGGCCCAUCCGCGAUUUCGCGAAGCUCUUUGGAGAACUGAAAAUCACUGAGUCGAGUCCUGGACAGCGAGGAAUGUGCUUCCGAAGGACGAAUGACGCGGGAGAGGAGUGGAGUGUAAAAUGGCGUUCAAGUGCCUGUAUCAAAAGGAAGCAUCAGACAACUUGGAAAUCGAUCAAUAGUGUCAUUCAAGUGGAACACAGAACAGACAAUAACCGAAAGAGUAAAGUAGACCCAUUGCUGGGUGACAGAUUUUACUGAGGAGACAUGGUGCACGCGCUUACUCGUCCCAUGUGGGAACCCGAGGCAGACCACAGUAGCACUUGCACCAGUGUUCUACUUGGUGAGCCAGGAUGUUCUCAUUAGAGUUAUCAACAGACGUGUGGUGAGCGGUUACUGACAACAAAUAGGACCAACUCAAAUGUAGCUGUCUGAUCCGAGGGCCCGCAGCAACAGAGCAAGCUGCUCCUCAGGAAGGCUGCGACCCUGGAGCAAUCGGGAUAGCUUGCAGGCCACCGCCCAAACCUCUCCUCUGCAGCAAUGCAUCUCUACCCAGCAACUGUUUGCUCCUUUUAUAAAACUGGGAGAGACUUUCCAGAGGAUCUUCCAAGUUGUUCUUUUCCUAGACGUGUGACCUUUUCUUUACCUCCCAAGUCUCCGGAGCCUCUUCCUUUCUCCUGGAGGGAAGGUUUCAGUUCAGAGGAAAUUGCCUGACAGCUCCUGUAUGUGCCCCUUUCCACUGCUAACGCAGCCUCUGCUUCUUCCAAACCCACAGAGCAGAGGUCAUGAUGGCAUUGCGUCUGUGGAGUUAGUGCCAGAUUCCACGGAUUCAAGAGUUAUCCCAUUUCUCCCCAUUUCUCUUGGGAUUCCAAGGCUACCCAUACUUCCCAGUUAACUACAAACGUGGGGGUUCCCAAACGCUUCUCCACAGGUUCGUUAGUGGUCUGCUGUAGAGGAUACAGCUUGGGGCCUUCUGAAUGGUAGGACCUAAAGAACAAGAUAGAAAGGGCUGUAGGUAGGGCCCGGUAUAAGGCUGCUCUGUAGCCCAUGAGUUGCUCACCAGUGAGAUGUUCUAUGACCCUUGUGUUCAUCAAAGGCUCAUUAUGCAGGCAUGAUUAAGUCAUUGGCUAUGGUGGCUGAACUCUUUCUCCAGCCUUUUUCCACUCCUCGGGGAAGGUUAAGGUUACUGAAACUUUCAACCUGUUAGUCAAGGGGUUGGUUCUACAGAUGACCGGCUCUCAUCCUGAAUCUAUUUAGCUCCAAUUCUCUUCUUGCGUCCACAUUGUUGUAAAUGUGGUGCUCUGCCAGCCUGACUUUCAGCAACUCAACAGCAGCAGCACCAGGGGUGGCACUGGUUUCCACUGUCACUAUGAGGAAGACAGGAGAUUGAUCAUCAGUCAAAUCCACGGAUCUGUGAGGAAAAAUCUGUAAACACCUGUAAACAUCUGUCAACAUCCGGAACACUGCCCAGGACUGUGUGGAUGUUUGAUUAAGCUUCUGUUCGCUCACUUUUGAGCUAUUAAGAGUUCUGUUAUUAAGGUUCUAUUUAUAAGGUCAAAUGCAUUCAGUUGAUCAAAGCCCCCAGGAUUACCACUGGCAUUGUUAGAGCUCAGGUCACUUUCUGGUUCAAAUGCUGGAUAUUUUAUUUCAUUUCUGCCUCUGUGGGUGAGUGCUGAGGGAGUAAAUCUCUCUGCCGAGCAGAGAGAUGCUAUGCAGGGUCCAUGGUUGCUGUUCUUUUUCCUCACGCCUCCAGCAUUCACAUACCCGUGAUUGACGAUCAUUGUUUUACGGUUUUUAAAAUUCCUAUCCAGAGACUUCAGAUUAAUAAUUUCUAUCAGAUGAUUUCCGCUAGUCACUUUACAACACACCAGGAUAUAUGACCGGUAGGUACAAGGAAGUAUUUAUUUGAUUAAAAUCCUUUCGCUUAAUUUUCUGGUUGCCAGUAGCAACCCACAAAAGAUAGAUCUAAAACGACAAGUCGGUGCCACGAAGAUUGCCAGCCAUGUUUUAUUCUUUCCUGAGUUGUGGUUUUAAAAUAGCCUUCCCAGUGCUGAUAGCAAUAAAAACAAUUGCUGUGUAUUCUGCCUUAGACAUAUCGACAAACCAUCUCAUAAACAGCCUGGGCUACUAAUGAACUUUUCCCUGAGGCUUUUAGAUGCAGCCUCAGGCCCCAUAGACUGAAGCUAUGUCCAUAGCUAUAGGGACAAUGACAGUGUUUGUACUAUAAAAAAUAUUUUCUAAUUUCUAUAAACUAAUGCAUGAGAUCAGUGUGAAACACAGAGUAGCAGAAAUAUUUGCAUCUUUU